AUGCUUGCUUUGGCAGUACAUAUGCUAAAACUGCAACAAUACAGACAAGAUUAGUAGGGCCCCUGGGCAGGAAUGACCCACAAAUUUGUAAAGCAUUCCACAUUUUU
ensembl:snRNA U6 U6 spliceosomal RNA